GAUGAACGCUGGCGGCGUGCUUAACACAUGCCAGUCGAACGGAAAGGCUCCUGCUUGCCGGGGUACUCGAGUGGCGAACGGGUGAGUAACACGUGGGUGAUCUGCCCUGCACUUCGGGAUAAGCCUGGGAAACUGGGUCUAAUACCGGAUAGGACGAUGGUUUGGAUGCCAUUGUGGAAAGUUUUUCGGUGUGGGAUGAGCUCGCGGCCUAUCAGCUUGUUGGUGGGGUAAUGGCCUACCAAGGCGUCGACGGGUAGCCGGCCUGAGAGGGUGUACGGCCACAUGGGGCCGGGGAAACGGCCCAGACCCCAACGGGGGGAAGCGGGGGGGAAAUUGGCAAAAGGGGGGAAAGCCGGAUGCAGCGACGCCGGGUGGGGGAGGACGGCCUUCGGGUGGUAAACUCCUUUCGCUAGGGACGAAGCGCAAGGAACGGUCCCGGGAGAAGAACCCCCGGCUAACUACGG
rnacentral:rRNA from 1 species